GGUGUCCCUCAGAUUUGAUGUCACAGGCAAGGCAGGCAGCAGCACACAAUCCCUUCCCUUCCUGUCAGUCCCUCCUGAGGAGCAACCACAACCGACUGGAUGGCUACAGAGAGGGAAUUAGUCUCACUGCAUCCCUGAGAGAUUUUUAGGGCUAGGGACUUGGCUAGUACUACAUUUGCUUCACGUGUCCAGAGAGGGCCAGGUGGGAGUUUGCCUGCCACAGGGUGACUCCCAGGUGGGGUGAACUAAGCACUUUGCUGUCCUUUCUGCUUUCAGGCCUGUGUAGGGAAUGCCCACACUAGGGACAUUGGCUUAGUGUGGCAAUCCCAAACUACUGCUGCAGCUCCUUGGGCACCAUUCUUCUCCAGAGCUGCAAGUCAUGCAUUUCUCCAGUUGUCUUCUGGUGCCAAAUUUUUCAGAAGUGAUGAAAGUCUUAGGCUGGAAUGGUCCUACAGUUGCUGAAGCUUGUGUGGUAGCUCAACAAGUCCUCAGCCAAGUGAGGGAGAGGAGGAAGAAAGCAGCCUGA
rnacentral:lncRNA from 1 species